GAGAUUUAGAGAUAGAGAGAGAGAAAGAUACUGAGAAAGAGAGAGAGAUGACUUUAUUUCUGGGAUUUUGCCCCAAUGUAGUAAAGAAGUUAACAUAAAGCAUUAACAUAAAUUUAACAUAACAUUCGAGUCCAGGACUUGGGGCAUGCCCCUCCAAACAAAUUCCCCAGUUUUCUAAUAAAAAUGGCCAAGACUUUAAAUUCCACUUUGUAGAUAAAGACACAUAGGGACACACUAUUCAGACAAUUUUCCCAGCUCAGGGUGAGGGAAACAAAAAUUCCAGUAGUAUCUGGGUCUGGUCUGGUAAGUGGAAUCAGGUUCAAUUUCCACUCUCGAACGGGGUCAUUACAACUCCCAACUUGCAACAAUAAACAGGGAUAGUUUCUAUUCUGUUUUCAUUUAGUGAUGACUCAAACCAAGAGUAAGAGGAGAGGAGAGAGGGUUUAUGUGCUCUGGUGGAACCAACUGGAGAUUUUGCCCAGUUACUAGGAUUACUAGUAACAGUAGCAUCACCCCCACUUUCCAGAUGAUGAGACUGAGGUUUGAAGAGCUUAAGGAGCAUUUGCAACAAGGGCCUUGAACCAGGUACCUGAGACCCUCAUGGCAUCACUUGCUUAUAGACUGACCUUUGACUGCUAGUCUCCUCACUCCAGGACCAGCCCGGACCACCUGACACCAAAUGUGGCCCAUCUCAUUCCUCCUUCUUGACACACGGCAUACCUUUGCCUCCAUCGUGGGUGCAGCUGGAAACAUCGAGGCUCCCGGAAGUAGCCGUUGCAGCUUCAGAGAAUGAGGUCUGAGACUCCUGGUAGCUGUCCACCUGGACGAAUGGAGAAGAGAAAGAAUUUUUAAGAAGAUGACACAUUCUUUGUUAUUGUUGGCACUCACGGUGCUGAGCACAUUUCAGCUGAGCAAGCACGAGUGACUGGAUUCUAAGAGCUCCACAGACUUCAUCUCACACUGUGUGGAAUUGUUAAGGGUUAUUGAGUGUUCUCUUCAUGGCCCCUUAAGUUCUCUGAAAUAAAUCUCUGUCCUUGGCAAACACACUGAGGGCUUUUCAGUCUCCAUGCCCCAUUGAAAUGUCAAAGUAUGACAGGAAGGCAUGGCUUCUCCUUGUUUGGGAGGCUUGAUAGAGCAAACCAAUGAUGUAUGCAAACCAGCUGGGGGCUUCACCAGGAUUUCUGUGAAAAUAUGUAGAUUUCUACCAACUGUUGCCUUUAUAUGUUGGUGUGCAGGUCUAAGCACCUAACAGAUGUGUGGAGCCCUCGGGUGCCCCCAAAUAGCAGACUGAGUUUAAGGACUCCUCUCCGUGUGAAAGGACCACCCAGAACUCCUCUUCCCAGGGAGCUCGGUUGCAAAGAGCAGCCUGGCAGGGGUGAUCUGGUCUGGCGACAACACUCUUGCCUUCUCUCCUCCCUCGCAGCCUUUAGAGCUCAGCAGCACCUUGAUGGAAAUUUAACCAGAUCUUUCUAAUUGCUAUUUUAUAGAUGACAGAAGUUGAGACCUGGGAUGCAUUUCUCCCUAAGGAUUCAGAACGUGGGCUACACCAAGAAUCAAUGGGGAAAGCAUCCAGAUGAGGAAGGGCCCCUUCAAAUGAGUGUCAUGUGAGGGGAGUGAGCCCAGAAGGCAAAUGACAUGAGUGUGACCUCUGAGUGGGCCGGUGACAUCAGAAUGCACAUGGAUGUUGUCCACGGGAACUGAGAGCUGAGUGAGCAAAGAGCCACCCUGUUUGUGAUGACCAAGAGGGAAGACAUCUGAGAGACAAUGGGAACAGCAUCUGUUGUGCUUGGUUAUGGUACGAGCCAGGGUGGAUAGGAGAUGAAGGCGUGUGGUAGCAUCUGACGGGAACGGAAGGCAUCUGGAGAGAGGAACAAGUGGCCAAGAAAAGAAGCCGUGGCAUCCACCUUGCCGCCAAGGCGACCCAGCCAUUUCUUCCCAUGCCUUUGACACGAGGGACAGACCGCCAAUCUGGAGGGCGAAAACAAUGGAUGAAUAUCCAAGUUCUUGAACCACAAGACCUUCCAGAGUCUGAACGUGACCCAACUGCCUCAUCAUCUACCCCCCAUGCUCUCCCCCCAGAUCUCGGCCAUCCCCUUCUAAUUCCUGGUUAUGGCAGAACGUUCUUGAUUCUUCGGGCCACCAUGUACUGUGUCCUUUCCUAGUUUGGAAAGCAUCCUCCACAGGAACAAGUGGGUGCCUACAAAAAGGACUCGUGGGCUUCAAAGAAAUAUUGACUCUUUUCAAACUCCACCAGGGUUCACCUUUGCUGGUGUUCCUAAAUACAUAGACUUCCAUGGUGCAGAGGGGAUAUUAAAGUUCAAAGAGACAUAGAAA